UGAGCCAAGUUUAGGGUUUUCUCAAAACCCAAGCAGUAUUGAACUGAAGAGUUUGAUCAUGGCUCAGAUUGAACGCUGGCGGCAGGCCUAACACAUGCAAGUCGAGCGGAUGAAGGGAGCUUGCUCCUGGAUUCAGCGGCGGACGGGUGAGUAAUGCCUAGGAAUCUGCCUGGUAGUGGG
rnacentral:rRNA from 1 species